GAGGGUACAGCUCAGUGAUAGAGUGUGUGCUUAGCAUGCACAAGGUCCUGGGUUCAAUCCCCACUACCUCCA
rnacentral:tRNA from 1 species